rnacentral:hammerhead_ribozyme from 1 species
AUCCAACUGACGAGUCCCAAAUAGGACAAAAUGCUUGUGUUGGAU